GACGAACGCUGGCGGCGUGCUUAACACAUGCAAGUCGAACGGAAAGGCCCUGCUUUUGUGGGGUGCUCGAGUGGCGAACGGGUGAGUAACACGUGAGUAACCUGCCCUUGACUUUGGUAUAACUUCAGGAAACUGGGGCUAAUACCGGAUAGGAGCUCCUGCUGCAUGGUGGGGGUUGGAAAGUUUCGGCGGUUGGGGAUGGACUCGCGGCUUAUCAGCUUGUUGGUGGGGUAGUGGCUUACCAAGGCUUUGACGGGUAGCCGGCCUGAGAGGGUGACCGGGGACAUUGGGACUGAGAUACGGCGCAGUCUCGUACGGGAGGCAGCAGUGGGGAAUAUUGCACAAUGGGCGGAAGCCUGAUGCAGCAGCGCCGCGUGCGGGAUGACGGCCUUCGGGUUGUAAACCGCUUUCGCCUGUGACGAAGCGUGAGUGACGGUAAUGGGUAAAGAAGCACCGGCUAACUACGUG
rnacentral:rRNA from 1 species